rnacentral:rRNA from 1 species
CACCAGCUCUUCAAGUGGUUGGGACUUUUAUUGGGCUUAAAGCGUCCGUAGCCUGUUUGAUAAGUUCCUGGUUAAAUCCGGCAGCUUAACUGUUGGUCUGCUAGGAAUACUGUCUUACUAGAGGGCGGGAAAGGUCAGAGGUACUCCGGGGGGAGCGGUGAAAUGUGAUAAUCCUCGGGGGACCACCAGUGGCGAAGGCGCCUGACUGGAACGCGCCUGACGGUGAGGGACGAAAGGUAGGGGAACGAACGGGAUUAGAUACCCCGGUAGUCCUACCCGUAAACGAUGCGCUCUAGAUGUCGGUUCUGCUCCGAGCAGUGCCGGUGCCACAGGGAAACCGUUAAGAGCGCCGCCUGGGAAGUACGCUCGCAAGAGUGAAACUUAAAGGAAUUGACGGGGGAGCACCACAAGGGGUGAAGCCUGCGGUUU